CACGUAGGGCGCAAGCGUUGUCCGGAAUUACUGGGCGUAAAGAGCUCGUAGGCGGUCUGUCGCGUCGGCUGUGAAAACUUGGGGCUCAACCCCAAGCCUGCAGUCGAUACGGGCAGACUAGAGUCCGGCAGGGGAGACUGGAAUUCCUGGUGUAGCGGUGAAAUGCGCAGAUAUCAGGAGGAACACCGGUGGCGAAGGCGGGUCUCUGGGCCGGAACUGACGCUGAGGAGCGAAAGCGUGGGGAGCGAACAGG
rnacentral:rRNA from 1 species